rnacentral:rRNA from 1 species
AGCGAACGCUGGCGGCAGGCCUAACACAUGCAAGUCGAACGAACCUUUCGGGGUUAGUGGCGGACGGGUGAGUAACACGUGGGAACGUGCCUUUAGGUUCGGAAUAACUCAGGGAAACUUGUGCUAAUACCGAAUGUGCCCUUCGGGGGAAAGAUUAAUCGCCUUUAGAGCGGCCCGCGUCUGAUGAGCUAGUUGGUUGAGGUAAUGGCUCACCAAGGCGACGAUCAGUAGCUGGUCUGAGAGGAUGAUCAGCCACAUUGGGACCGAGACACGGCCGAGACGGUGAGAGGAGGAAGCAAUGGGGAAUAUUACACAAGGGGCGAAAGAUGGAUCAAGAAAUACAGCGUAGGUGAUGAGAGAUUUCGGGUGGGAGAGACCUGUUAUGAGGAAAGAAAAAAAGUAGAAGAAAAUCCUCAUGUUAUGACGGUAGCAAAAGAAUAAGCAACGGCGAACUUCGUG